UGAUAUUCUUCUCAAGCAUAUCACUCAGUAGUCGAGAGGCAUCACUCCAUCUUCCGUAGUUACAGAGGCAGCUAAUGAGGGGGUUGUAGGUAAAAACAUCAG
rnacentral:sRNA from 1 species